GCAGACAGGGUUGGGGGUUUAGGGAUUGCAUCAAUCGGCGAUUUCAAGCAAAUCGCAGAGGUAAUCACUCGGCGAUUUCUUUCAACUUCUUCGUGUGUAUAUAUCUCUUUGUGCGAUUGUAUAUCUGUGUAUAUACAUAUAUAUAUCUAUAUAUGCUUAUUUGUGAUUGUGCUGUGCGAGAAAACAGAGGCGACGGGAGGUAGGUGGAUUGGAGGUUGAAGGAGGAGGCUGAUGGGGCGUUCUUCGCCGGUGAAGGAGGCGGCGUGUGGUGGCGCUGCUAUGGAUUCCAGUUUUAGCUAUGGUUGCAAGUUGGGCAGGUUGUUGUAGCUGCUGUUGUUGCAGCGCAGAGAGAGAUGAUGGAGGCGAGCAGUUGUAGAGCUAUUUGGUGGUGGCUGAAGUCGACCAAGAUGUGCAUAUAGAGGAUGUUCAGAAGUAGUUGAAUAGUAUCGUGGAGCGAGGAUGGAACAAACCAAUAAAGCGAAGCUAUGCUAUGGAUAGUCAGUUAAGUUCUGUCAGAAACUAAGCAGAAGGGAACAAUUGUCAGUAGAUAGUAUUGUUAGAAAUCUGAGAAGCAGGAGUUAAGGCAAGUACUUCUAUCCUUCUCUUACAGUUAACAAAUAUUUUUAUUUGCAACCUAUACAUAUACUGCAAGUAAUUCUAUUUGUCUCUUAUAAUUAAAGAGCAAUUUUCCUAUCAUUCUCUUUUAUUUAAAAAGCAAUUUCCCAGUUUCUUCUAUUUAUUCAAGAAUGCUUUUGAGACUUUUUGGAAUUCUUUAUUGGUAAAUGUAUUUCUUGGUUUACUUUGUCCUAGUGGCAAUUGGUUAUUUUGUUCAAUAUUCUCUUGCUAUUAUAUCUUUUAAGAAUGUUGAGCAUAGCCAACUAUAUAUGAUUUCAAACUUGGUUAACAGUGAAAUGUGGUAUACAGAGUAUUACUCUGCAGGUUUUGAUUUAAAAAGGUUGGAUGCCUUUUGGGUUUGGUAACAUGAAAAUGGUGUUAAAAGACUUCUAAUAUAGAAGUAUAUUUAUAAACUGUUAACCAAUCGGAAUUCAUUUGCUGGACCGUGGUGCCGGUCGUGAGUUACAUGUUACAUUAUUUAAGGCCAAUGUGUGCCUUGGGCCCCUUAGUUCUUUGGAUAGGUAGCGCCCUGUCCUGGUGCUUGAUGCUCGGCUGAUCACCGUGUCAGCACAACGCACCGUAAGUGAAUGAUUUUUCACAGAAUAGUUUUAAAUGAUUUUAUUCUCUUGUAAUUGCCAUACUUUUAAAAUAUGACUCUUGUUCUAUAUUGUUAAAAUACCUGGCAAGUUACAUAUAGAAUUUGAUAUAUUUCAGUUCUCUUUCAUUUAUUACAUCUUUUCUUGUUAUAUACUUGCUGAGCAUUAUUGCUCACUCUUGCUAUCCCUAUUAACCUUUUCAGCUAGGGAUUAAGGUGAUUUAUUUGUCGAGCUGCGCGUAAGAAUAUUGCUAGGCAAGAUUGCAAGGGACCAAAUUUCAGCUUGAUUAUCAGGUAGAGUAUUUUGGAAGAUAUCAAGGAAACUAGUUGUGAUUAGAAUGGUACAAUUUUAUAUCAGUUGUAUAAUAAUUUAUUUAUUGGUUAUCAGUUACUCUUCUUAUCGAGGUUUAACUGGUAAUGUAAAUUAAGUUGUAAUAAGAUUUAAAGUUUUAGUUUCUGAUUUCAGUGCUGUAACCU
rnacentral:lncRNA from 1 species